CUCAAAGAUGAAGACGGGCACCAGCACUGAGGCUCUGCUGACCGCUUGUCUCUAAUUCUUGCCUGACACAGACAUUCCCUGCCCAGGGAAGUGUUUGAUUUAUGUUGAGGUUUGAGUGUCGGGAUUUUGCUGACAGUAACCCACCGUGGCUGAUAUUAUUACGUGGCUGAUAUUAUUACGGCACCCCCUUCCUUCCCAACACACUUAACAGAGAUGAGGAAACUGAAGUACAAGUGACUGAGUUACUCAAGCUGCAGAGCUUAGAAGUGUGGAGCUGGAGCUGGGAUUUGAUCCAAGAACAGAGCCGGUGUCCAACCCCUUUGCAGAUGUUAUUGGUGGCAGGAGAGCCAUUUGGUGCCAGCUGUAACUGCAAAGCUCACUGCGGCCCAAGGGAUGGCACACUGGUCUGCCGCCUCCUGGAAGGCUGGGAGUUUCUGUCAGCUGUGUUGCAACUCACAGUGCUUUGGACGGGAAGAAUCAUUAUGGGGUCUAAAACUGUCCUCAAAGCGUCCCUUUAAAAAAGCCAAGAGAAGGUUUGAAUACCUGGAAAACAAGCAGGCAA